ACGGCCGUACCAUGCUGAAUAUACCGGUUCUCGUUAGAUCACCGAAGUUAAGCAUCAUUGGGCGCGGUCAAAUGACCACCUGGGAAACUGCGUGCCGUUG